rnacentral:misc_RNA from 1 species
GAUGAAGAACGUAGCGAAAUGCGAUAAGUAAUGUGAAUUGCAGAAUUCAGUGAAUCAUCGAGUCUUUGAACGCACAUUGCGCCACCUGGUAUUCCGGGGGGCAUGCCUGUCCGAGCGUCAUUGCUGCCCUCAAGCACGGCUUGUGUGUUGGGCCUCCGUCCUCCUCCCGGGGGACGGGCCCGAAAGGCAGCGGCGGCACCGCGUCCGGUCCUCGAGCGUAUGGGGCUUCGUCACCCGCUCUUGUAGGCCCGGCCGGCGCUUGCCGACACAUCAAUCUUUUUUCCAGGUUGACCUCGGAUCAGGUAGGGAUACCCGCUGAACUUAAGCAUAUCAAUAAGCGGAGGA